UUUGAAAGUGGAUCGGGAAAAGGAAAGAAAUGUAUUUUCACAUCCCUGAAAAUCUGCAGAUGAAAGGUGAGUGCUCCCAGGGCAGUGCAAAGAACAGCCAAGAGGAACACUGUUGUUUGUUUUACAUCUUGGAUAGGACAUAAAGGAGACCUUUCUCUGGAUUCUGAGAGUUUUUCUUUCUUUAUCCUCCUCAGGUGGAGUGGUUUGGCUGGACCCAGCCUGGCUCUGUUCUGCCACAAUGGACACAGCAGUUUUGAAGCAAAACUAUUUACCAAGUGCAGAGAGUCACGCUCACCAGAGGGAACCUCACCAAAUCUCCUUGUACAGUUCUUCCUGGAUGUCUUCUUUAGCAAGAAGACACCUGGCACACAGACCCUGUCAGCUACUCACUGCAUUCCUUACAAACCCAAACCCACCGAGGAUCAGAGCGAAAAUGUGCAGUCCUUGCCCAGACCUCACCAUCCCUGGAUAAUACAUGGUGGUAUUAGGUAAAUUUUUUUUUUUUUUUUUUUUUUUUUUGGCAGUAGAGUGGUUGGCUUGUGGCUGGUUUAGGCAUGACAAUGCUGUUGAGUCUCUCUGCUGAGAGUCAAAGGAGGGAACCCCAAGAAGUAUCUCCUCUGUUCUCAGCUGGCAGCUGAAGAAGUAAUAGCAAGAGAGAGCAGCCCACACAACCUUGUCCUCCCUAUUGUAGCCCACUGGCAUCUCCUUCUGAGAUGGUGGCAGGGGCAUAGCCACAUAGAACUUGAGUUGAGACAGUGUACUUGCUGCUUCAAGCUGUGUCCCCAAACUUCCAGCUGCAUAUUUAAUUUCUGGUUUGGAAUAGUGGAGCCAGAGAAGUCAGGAAAGCAGGACGUGGGCAAAAAGAACGAGAAGAACCCACCCCAUGCUUUCAUUCCCACUCUUCUCUAUCCAUAGUCUUCUAACACUGGAAUUGCAGUAUGAAAUCCCCAGUAGCUAGUCGCCUGGCAACUUCCUGAGGCCCAAGAUGCUCACCUCUUCUUCUUUUCCUUCCCCAUACCUCUCCCCUUCUUCUUUCCACUUAAGUAGUUCAUAGAACCUCUUCCAGACUUAAGAAACUAAUUGCAAAUUACCUAUCUGAUUAUAGUUUAUACAUUUAAUUCGAAGCAGGGAAUUAAGCUCCCAAACACCACAAAAUGAAAGCUUGAGAUUCUCC
rnacentral:lncRNA from 1 species